UACGUAGGGCGCAAGCGUUGUCCGGAAUUAUUGGGCGUAAAGAGCUCGUAGGCGGUCUGUCGCGUCGGCUGUGAAAGCCCGGGGCUCAACCCCGGGUCUGCAGUCGAUACGGGCAGGCUAGAGUGCGGUAGGGGAGACUGGAAUUCCUGGUGUAGCGGUGAAAUGCGCAGAUAUCAGGAGGAACACCGGUGGCGAAGGCGGGUCUCUGGGCCGUAACUGACGCUGAGGAGCGAAAGCGUGGGGAGCAAACAGG
rnacentral:rRNA from 1 species